rnacentral:lncRNA from 1 species
GAGUUUGAUGAAAAUAAACAUGAUGGGAAACAAAAUCAACUAAAUUGACAAACUAUGAAAUUUCUCAGGUUUUGGCAUAUGCCAUUGGUGAAGUACAUGUGAGAUGGCUAAUGACAUGUUUAUAUUUAAUUUAGAUGUUUGGAUCCACAUUAUUUUAGCGACGUGAGAACCGUGCAUCCUUUUAAGUGCCCUUGAUCAUCCUGCUUGCCCAGUAGCAGGAUAAUUUUCUACCCUGUACCAAAUAAUUGUGAUAGUCAAUGAGAAUUAGGUCCUGUUCCACAUAGUGUUGUUUUUGUCCUGGAGAGUUGGCUAAAUAUUCACUAGAUCUGUAUUCACAGUGCUUGAGCAUAUUUUAAAGUACUUUUUGACCCUUUUAAUGUACACUUGUAAUUAUAAUAAAGUAAUAGGAAAUCGGGCAGUGUCAUUAUUAAUGACAGAUAUGAUCUAGUGAAAAUAUAUCAUUUUAAUAGCACUCUGCUGAAGUCAUAGACGAUAAUGUUCUCAUUUACAGGACUUAUAAUUCUAAGUCAUAAAUCACAUCGAAUUUCAAAAGUAAAGUACUUGUUACUGUAUAAAUCUUUGUUCAAACUUCUUUAUCAGUUGAAAUGUGCUAUCCUAACUCGUUCUCCCUUUAUGUUGAAAGUAAGUACUGGCAACAGUUUCUGUAAAUCAGUUUUCAGUGCUCCGCUGUGCAUAGGAGCUGUGAUUUAUGUCAGCGCUUUUGGAGCAGGGAUGCUCGACCUUUUGUGGUUGGAUUAUGUAUCCUUUUGAGAAUCUGUAACGUAAUCUGUGAAAGCCUCAGACCUUUUCACCUGAAGAAGCAUGUAGGCACUAAUGCAAAUACAAUUUUGUGUGUAGUUCCUUUAGGUCACUGGAUCUUCUAAAGCUAAAUCAAGGACAUAUCCGUAGCAUAAUUCUUACUCCUUCAAGAAACCCAGCUCUACUUUUUCUUUGUAAAUCAGAGCCAUAGUUUCUUCUGUUUAGUCAGCAUCGCAGAAAUCUCACUGCCUUCCCUGUUUUACGUGUUUAGUUCUAAAGACCAAACUAUUAGGGGCCUUGUGGCAUUACUUCAUAUUAUAGGUUUUGUAUAAGGAUUACACAUUUUCUAAAGUUACUCUGGGAAAAAAUAAGCAGUCUCUUUUCAUCAUGUUUUCUUAUCGCGACAUUAUUCUUCUCUGUCAGGAAGUUGUGAGGAAGUCUGCAUUUUUGGUCAAAUAUCCCGGUAUCUUGGGAAGAGAAGAACUGUGUAGAGCUUGUACAUCUUGAAAAGUUUUAUCUUCUGAAAUUCACUUGUAAAAAUUAAUUUUGACUGUUAAGCAUUUGCUGCAUGCCAGACUUUAUAUGUGGCACAUAAUUGAUAUAAUUUCAUCCAUCCUCAUAAAAACCCCAGCAGAUCUGUUCAGGCUGCUGUAACAAAAACAUCAUAGACUGGGUGGCUGAAAUACGAUUCUGGAGGCUGGGAAGUCCAAGUUCAAGGCACUAGCAGAUUUGGUAUUUGGUGAAGACAAACUGCCUGGUUCGCAGUCAGUCGUCUUCUGGCUGUGUUCUCACCUGGAAGAAGGGAUGGGACAGGAUUGCUCUCUGGGGACUCCUUUAUAAGGAUACAAAUCCCGUUCUUGAGGGCUCUGCCCUCAUAACCUAACCAACUUUAGAAGGUCCCACCUCCUAAUACCGUUACACUGCGGUGCUAGGUUUCCACAUAAGAAUUGGCAGAAGAGGGAGCAGGAAGAUGGGACACAAACAUUAAAUUUGUAACGAGUAUACAUGAUCAUUUCAUUUUUACAGUCAAAGUACCUGAGGCUGACAGAGUUGCAGUAAGAUUCCCAGGAAUACUUAUUCAGUAAUUACUCUGAGUAAUUACUCGAUUAUCUGUAGGACAGACGGGGAAUUUCCUGACACUUUGUCUUUCUGGCCUCUAAUUUGUGAACAUUCCACUGCAAGCUAAAACGGUUUGUCUGGGAUUACCAAAGAAAUGCUGUUUUGAUAGUUUCUCAGAUUAGAGAAGAAACACAUUUAGGUUGCUUCUGUGUCUUCGUUACUCUAAAUAGUGCUGCAGUGACCAUGGGUUGCAUGUAUCUUUUUGAAUUACAGUUUUCUCUAGAUAGAUGCCUAGCAGUUGGAUUGCUAGAUUAUAAAGAAGAUACAUACAAUGGAGUAUUACUCAGUCAUAAAAAUGAAAUAAUUCCAUUUGCAGCAAAAUGGGUGGACCUAGAGACUACCAUGCAAGUGAAGAAAGUCAGACAAAUAUCAUAUAUCACUUAUAUGUGGAAUCUUAAACCAGUGAUAAAAAUGAACUUAUUUACAAAACAGAGACAGAGUCACAGACUUUGAAACCAAUGUUAUAGUUACCAAAGGGGAAAUGCUUGGGGAAGGGAUAAAUUGGGAAGUUGGGAUUGGCGUAGACACACUACUAUCUACAAAACUGAUAAGUAACAAGGACAUACUGUAAAGCACAGGGAAUUCUACUCAACACUCUGUAAUAAUUCAUGUGGGAAAAGAAUCUGAAAAGGAAUGGACAUGUGUAUAUGCAUAACUGGUUCACUUUGCUGUCCACCUGAAACUAACACAACAUUGUAAGUCAACUGUACUCCAAUAAAAUUUUUACAAAAAUGUAAAAAAACUAAAAGAAAUACACACCAUGUGACCUCUCAAAAUCUUCACAUAUUUCAUAAUAACUCAUUUGUUCAGUAAAUAUUUACCUAGUGUUUAGGUUUAACUGUCCUUACUUGAUAGAUGAGAAAAUUUGAGGAGCCAGCGCCCUUGUGAUUGUAAUUAGUUUAUUGUCCAUUAAUCAUAACGUGUGUACAAUUUUUUCCUAAUCUCUGUUUUUUGCAAAAUUCUUUUGGGUAUAUUCAUGUAGACAAAUGUAGCCCCAGGUUGUUCCAAUCAACUUUUGUUUGUUAUACAAUCAGAGACUUCUAUUGAAUCUUUUCAAGCCAUUGAUAAACAAUUUCUUUUCAAAUUACUGGCAGAAGAGUGGUCCUUGGAUUGUGAGUUCAAUAACUACUCCUAUUAAACUAAACUCCUUGUUCAUAGCAGACAAGAAACAAAAACUUAGAGAAUGAGUGACUUAAUGAAUAAAUUUGUAAUGCCUAGACUACAAAAAAAAUGAAGAUUACUUAAAGGGACGCAAUAGUUUAAUCUGAUGUGUGUUAAAUAAGCCAGAUUCUUGAAUAUUGUCUUAUUAGGAAAAAAAUACUGCAAGAAAAUGAUGGCUUUAAUUGAAUGCAUCCAGAGAAUGAAAUCAAAGAUUAUAGAGCAAUUGACUUGCGCUAAGUAUGUCUAAGUAUUCUGCUAAAGUACUAAAUUGAAUUAUGAAUUAAAUCCUCUUAUUUAAACAAAUGUAUUAUGCUUCUUUGAGGUUUAUUCUAUCUGUAUUCAGUAUUUUUAUUUGAUUUAGACUUUUCCUGUGAUACUUAGAUAAGAGGAUAAAAUCUAUUUGAAAGAAAUUCUUAUAAGUUUGGUGUGAUUUAUUAUACUUCUAUUGAAAGUUUUCUUUUUCUUUUUUUUUUUUUUUUUGAAACCUGUUAAAUCUUGACCCAGAAUUUAUUCGCCAAUCUGCAAGUAUUCAGUCAUGUUUUGGAAUUCUGUCAUGGAAUUCUGUCAUGUUUUGGAAUACAAUAGCUUUUUAAGUUUCUUUAAGUAAGAAGUAAGAUAAUAAUCAUUAAACAAAUUUUGCAUUUAUUAAACUGCCCUCACACUUUUAGGCCUGGGGGUUAGACAGUGAGAACAAAGGGCCAAGGCUACCGUCACUGAAUUUGGGAAGUGGGAUGGCAAGGCAGUGUUUCAGUACCCUUGGUCCCUCCAAAAUAAUAUAAUGUAAACAAUUUUUUCUUUUUUUAAAAAAAUGUUUAAUUUUUUUUAAUUGUUAUUUCCCCAAUACAAUUUUUUUCCUACUGUACAGCAUGGUGGCUCAGUUACACUUACAUGUACACAUUCUAUUUUCUCCCAUUAUCAUGCUCCAUCGUACGUGACUAGACAUGGUUCCCAGUGUCACACAGCAGGAUCUCACUGCUAAUCCAUCCCAAAGGCAACAGUCCACAUAUAUUAACCUCAAGCUCCCAAUCCAUCCCUCUCCCUCCCCCUCCCCCUCCCCCUUGGCAGCCACAGGUCUAUUCUGCAAGUCCAUGAGUUUCUUUUCUGUGGAAAGGUUCAUUUGUGCUGUGUAUUAGAUUCCAGAUAUAAGUGAUAUCAUAUGGUAUUUGUCUUUCUCUUUCUGACUGUCUUCAUUCAGUAUGAGAGUCUCUAGUUCCAUCCAUGUUGAUGCAAAUGGCAUUAUUUUGUUCUUUUUUAUGGCUGAGUAGUAUUCCAUUCCAAUCAGAUUGAACAUUUUCUAUGUGUUGCUUAUAAUGGUGUCUAGCAAUGGGUUUCUUUUGGAAGCAGAUUUCUUUUCUGGAUGUUUCAUGUUUAAUUUCUUAAGGAAGCCAAAAAAUUUAAAAUAAUGGUAUCCUAUAAAUAAAGAAUGUAUUAGCUCAUAUUAUAUGAACUAAAAUGGAGUUUGUGAGUAUUGAGUACUGAAUUACUCAAAAUAAUACUUAAAAAUUAAUUUUCAGAGUGUGAAGUUUUUUUUUUUUUCUUUUAAAUCCAUUAGUCCCAUGUCCAAAUUCCUAGAAUAAAUUCCCAGUCACAAAGAAUGUGAAGGGGGAAUGCAAGGAAUUCUGUGGGAAAGGAGAUACCAGUUUUAGUCAUUGUGAAAAUGGACUUAAAAAUUUUCUGUCUAUUUUACAGACAGAAGAGAAAUAAGAGAAAAGAAAAGAAAAAACUACAGACUUCCAAAUAAACUGUGCUCGCCUUUGUUCUUUCCAUUCUUUUUCUUUUUUGCACUUUUUAAAAACUGUUACGUAUUUUCACAUUAAGGAGUCUUUGUGGAAAUUAGUAGUUCUUACUUGUGUUUGCUCAUAUUUACUGGUAAUCAAGUGUAGUUUGCUUUAUAAAUUGAAUUUUUUAAAAUUCACCCUUAAUCAUUAAUUCAGAGAUACUAGCUCAUGGGAUGAUCAAUUUUUUCACUUGUCUUUUUUUGUUGAAUGAUGUUUCUUUCAUUUUGAUUAAAAACUCCUUUGGCAAUGAACUUUCUUUUCACACAUAUUUGAAUUUAAAAUUACUCUUUUUAAUCAAGUUGCAUUGCAAGACCUUCAUUCUCAGUGUGCUGUAUGAAUGAUUAGACAAAGCUUAACAGCUGCCAUAGUAAUUUCUUUUGCUUCAUUGAAAGGGGUAACAGUGGCAAAUACUAGUAUCACUGUUAAGAUUUUCUCUUAACAUUAUACCCAAAGCAUAGCAUACGUUUCUCAGUUCCUGUGCCUACUUUCAAGCAUGAAAUCUUCCUUGAGCCAAAGAAGGUAUCUAUCUUAGCGGAUAUGGAAGACGCACUAAUUUGUUCAACACCUAUCCAAGUGAUUUGACUCACAAGUGGCAUCAAAUCCAUUUGAAAAUUAAUAUUAUUUCUGAAUUUCUAUAUGGUAUGUUUGAUAUCAGCCUUUCUUAAGACUUACCUACUUAAAAAAUGAAUGAGGUGGGAGUUCCUAUUGUGGCUCAGUGAUUAACAACCCCAGCUAGCAUCCAUGAGGACGUGGGUUCAAUCCCUGGCCGUGCUCAGUGGAUUAAAGAUCUGGUGUUGCUGUGAGCUAUGGUGUAGGCUGCAGACAUGGCUUGGAUCCCAUGUUGCUGUGGCUGUGGUUUUGGCCAGCGGCUACAGCUCCUAUUUGACCCCUCGCCUGGGAGCCUCCAUAUGCCUUGGGUG